ACAUCUGAGGACAGACAGGAACAGGGAGGAAACUAGUAAGGGGAAUGAUGUGGCUGAUGACUGACCAGCCUACUCUUUCAAAAACAAUCCUUGAUGAUGAAAUGGAAAGGUUUCGGGUUACAAAGGAGUGCCAGAGAGGCUGCAGUAGGACAAUCUGCCACCCACAGCUGACUGCGUCAUGGCUGGCCACCAGGAUGAUAAGCACCACACCGGCCAUGUGGAAAAACAGGACUGCUGACCUAAACCUCGCCUUGAGCUCAAUAAUUACAAGUUUGUGUGUUCAAAGAGGACCUGUGCUACCAGGAAUAGACACAGGUACAACUUGAAAAGGAGGAAAAUUAUCUUUGGAAGGGCAUGUAGAGGAGGAAUAAACAAUUUUGAUAACAGUUAUUUUACAUUCCUGAAAAGUAAUCAGAAUUCUUUUUUCACAAACUUCAGAUCUUAUGAUUACCUUCCAGUGGGAAUGCGUGCAGGCCUUGAGAUGCCUUACAAUAUAAUACAUCCACUUUAAGAAAUACCUAGACAUUUUUGGAAAUACGUGUAUUUGCUUUUUUAAAUAUGAAUAUUUUUUACAAUUUUGUACUGAAUAAACAAACCAGAUGUAACAUGUUAACUAGUGAACUUAAGAGAUGCCGGUAGUCAGAUUUUGUUACCUUGGACAAAGCCAAGCCUAGACAGAUAUGAGAGUGGUACUGUAUCAAUCUUCUCAUUUAACUCUCGAAAAGAAUUUCCAAAAAUGUUGAACUAUUCCUUUAAUGACCGGUUAGUGGGGUUUGUUUUCAGUGGACACUAGGAAGGCUUGGUUCAACACCUUAGAGCACCAGAGACAAACAUCAAUAUGGCAUAAAGAAACAUCAAAUCACCACCACUAUAAAAACUUGUGAAGGAAAAUAUAAAUCUGAUAUUUAAUACAGUGCUCUCUUGCUAUAAAUGAUUAUCCUGUGUUCACUGCUCUGUUUAUAUGCCCACUGCCUUGUACAAUAAUACUAUUCACUGUGAUAUACAACUCUUCUGAUGUAUUCUCCCCGAUAUGCCUUAUAAGCCUUGGUCACAAUUUGAACCCGUGCCUCAAAUCCCCUGAAUCCCUGCUGAAAGCCCCUGUGCCUCUUGACAAAUCAGCACUCUAACUAUACUGAUGUACUGUCUCCCUCUCUCUUAGGUCGUCCUUUAUAUUCUGUGUGAAACAUUUUGUUGCCAGUGAUAUUCUUUGCAUUGUACUAUGUAUGGCUUUCCCCGGCUGCAGUAUAAUAAACACAACUCUUCUGCUUAAGCCAGUCAGCGUACCAUCCAGACUCUUACCUGUUGUGCAGGUGAGGCUGCAGUUCACAGCGCUGCAUCUUCUGCUGACACUCUGCAUUGUGGGGGC